AGAAUCAACGCUGGCGGCGUGCCUAACACAUGCAAGUCGAACGAGAAAGUGGGAGCAAUCCCACGAGUAAAGUGGCGCACGGGUGAGUAACACGUGACUAACCUACCCUUGAGUGGGGGAUAACCUAGGGAAACCUGGGCUAAUACCGCAUAAUACCUACGGGUCAAAGGAGCAAUUCGCUUAAGGAGGGGGUCGCGGCAGAUUAGUUAGUUGGCGGGGUAAUGGCCCACCAAGACAGUGAUCUGUAUCCGGCCUGAGAGGGCGCACGGACACACUGGAACUGAAACACGGUCCAGACUCCUACGGGAGGCAGCAGUGGGGAAUUUGCGCAAUGGGGGAAACCCUGACGCAGCAACGCCGCGUGGAGGAUGAAGCCCCUUGGGGCGUAAACUCCUUUCGAUCGGGAAGAUAAUGACGGUACCGGAAGAAGAAGCCCCGGCUAACUUCGUGCCAGCAGCCGC
rnacentral:rRNA from 1 species